GAUGGCAGCGACCUGCUAAAAUCCAGACAGACGGCAGCGACCUGCUAACAUCCAGACGGCAGCGACCUGCUAACAUCCAGACGGACGGCAGCGACCUGCAGGAGGAGGAAUUAUUCCCCUGAACGGUCGCCCUCCGGCUGGUUGAGUUCUGGUCACUGAACAAAGGACCUCCAGGCUUCAUCUCAAGAUGGAAAAUACUGUGGAACUAAACCAGGAGACACCAGAACAACAGCAGACGACUCGGACAAAAGAGGAAGCAAUACCUCAACCAAUUAAACGGGAAAAGGUUGAUGUGAGCAUCUGUCAGGAGGGGAGGCGGGUUCUAGUGAAGGAGGAGGAGAAUCCUUUGAUGGUGACUCCUGAUUAUGCAGAAAUGCUUUACAAUGUAAAGGACCUGCAACAGACAGGAGAGACCAAGGAGGAACCAGAACUCAUACCGGUUAAAGGGGAACAGGAGGAACCAGAACCUGUACAGGUUAAAGGGGAACAGGAGGAACCAGAACCUUUACCGGUUAAAGGGGAACAGGAGGAACCAGAACCUGUACAGGUUAAAGGGGAAACAGAAGAUGAAGAGCAGCUUGCUGUGAAGCAGGAGGAGGAAACCUUCAUGGUUCAUCCUAACUGUGAACAAACAGAAAACAAAGAACUAGGAACAUUUAAGAACCAACCACCCUGUCCAAACUGGCCUGAAGCUGAGAACCGACAUCAGCAGAAAAGCAGCCAUGACGAUUUGACGUCAGGUACAGAUGAAGAGCUUCAGCCAGAGAUGAGACAUCAGAACAGCGGGACCAAUCCACAGACAUCCAUGUAUGAAGUGGAUCUGUUUUCCUGUGAAGUUUGUGGUAAAUCUUUCAACAAGCAAAAGUGCUUGACUGUCCACAUGAGAACUCACACAGGGGAGAAACCUUAUCCUUGUAAAUUGUGUGGUAAAUCUUUUGCCAUCUAUGGUACCAGAACUAGACACAUGAGAAUUCACACAGGAGAGAAACCAUUCACUUGUGAAGUAUGCGGUAAAUCUUUCAGACACUCCUACCAGCUACGUCAUCAUCUAAGAACUCACACAGGGGAGAAGCCUUUCUCAUGUUUGAUGUGUGGAAAAGAUUUCAGCCAGCAAUCUAACCUAACUGUGCACAUGAGAACUCAUACAGGUGAGAAGCCUUUCACAUGUUUGAGAUGUAGAAAAUGUUUCACUAGGCAAAGUACUUUGAUUGAGCACAUGAGAACUCACACAGGUGAGAAGCCGUAUUCUUGUCAAUUAUGUGGUAAUACAUUUAGAUACAGUCGCCAUUUGACUCUUCAUGCAAGGACUCACACAGGCGAGAAGCCUUUUUCAUGUUGGACCUGUGGAAAAAAAUUCUCAAGGCAGUCCAACUUGAAUGUUCACAUGAAAAUUCACACAGGUAAGAAGCAACAUCCUUGAGAUUUGGGCUACAAGUCUUUAAUGACAGGUAGUCAAUCUGCCAAGACGAGGUCUUGAAACUGACAUCUGACAUUCUCUGUCAUGGUGGCUGAUAAACUGUCAAAAUGGACAGCAUUUAACAGGAAGUAAGUUAAAAUCUCCUGAAAUUCCUCCAAAUACCUUAGGUUGAAGUACCUACAGUAAGAAAAACAGCUGAUGACAUCACAGGCAUUGUCAGCCACGAAUGAUUGCGCAAACACUACUUUUGUCAAAAUAAUCCUGAAUCAACUCGCAUAAAUAAUUUGAUAUAAAUGGACCGCUGAAACCCUGGAUCAGAGACGAUGUCUCCCUUUAGUUUGUCCUGGAUUAUUCAGCACUGCUAAUCCACCUCCUGUGAUUUUAUCCUACUCAGGCAGAGAGUAAAUAUCCUUAUAGCACCUGUUCAAGUUAGUGGACUUCACAGCACUUUACACUAUUUCCCCUCAGUCAUUCAGACACGGAUGGUGGUGAGGCUGCUGUGCCACCACCCCCCCGAUCGCCAUCACUAGGUCAUGUGAAGUGUCCUAUCCAAGAGGACCAUGAAUGAGACGGACUUCUGCAUAAUCCUGCAGGCCCAUCACACAGCCUAGAUGAGCCUAUGAGGCAAGAAGUGCGGCAGAACCGUCAGCAUCAAAAGCCGAGCAGUGAGGUGAUAAACAGGAGGAGAAGGAAAACAGACUGGAAAGAAACACAGAUGUUAGAGUUAAUUAAGAAAUACAUUUUUUCUUUGUCUGCAGGGAAUAUUUUCACCUAACCCUAACAGUAGAGAUAGAUUCAUUUCUGGCAUCAGAGAAGAUCAGAUGAACAGAAGUACAGUCGCCAACAUUUAUGAAGAGCAGCUCAACGCCCCCCCCAUCCCCAUUGGAUAAGAGGCUGUUAGUAAAGAGGAAGGAGCCUCUUAGAUGUUUUUACAACUUUGGAUGAUGACAUCACUAUGCUAGGGGGCGUGGCCAUUUCUAAUGUUGGAGCUCGUUAAUGAUGUUAACAACAUGUCAGGGUUCGACAGCACUGGGUUAGGAUCACUGCUGCUCUGUCAUAAAUGCAUUUUUAUGUUAAAUAUUGUUUUUAAUGAAUGAUGAAUUCCAAUCAUCAUAUGAUAUCUGCAUAUAAAUCUAAUGAGUUACGUUAAAAAAGUCUUUAUUUCAAUUCAUCAACUUUUCAGUUUAUCUGAUUGGUUUUGAUGCGUUUGAUUUUUAUUUUUAAAUUUAAGCUGAAAUAUGAACAAGGAUGUUAAAAUCACAUGUAAAAUGUUUUAUUGA